rnacentral:rRNA from 1 species
AUACGGAGGGGGCAAGCGUUGUUCGGAAUCACUGGGCGUAAAGGGCGUGUAGGCGGCUGACCAAGUCAGGUGUGAAAGCCCUCGGCUCAACCGAGGAACUGCAUCUGAUACUGGUCGGCUAGAGUCCGGGAGGGGGUAGCGGAAUUCCCAGUGUAGCGGUGAAAUGCGUAGAUAUUGGGAAGAACACCGGUGGCGAAGGCGGCUACCUGGACCGGAACUGACGCUGAGGCGCGAAAGCCAGGGGAGCGAAUGGGAUUAGAAACCCCAGUAGUCC